rnacentral:rRNA from 1 species
GCUUACGGCCAUACCACCCUGAGAACGCCCGAUCUCGUCUGAUCUCGGAAGCUAAGCAGGGUCGGGCCUGGUUAGUACUUGGAUGGGAGGCCGCCUGGGAAUACCAGGUGCUGUAAGCC